rnacentral:lncRNA from 1 species
GUGUGGGAACAGGUCCGUAGUUGAUUUGUUCUUUAUUCUUGAAGCAAUUGAAGCUUGCUUGCUGAAUCGUCACGUUAGUGAGCUUCUCAAAAGUUCAAGUAAAUUUUUUUUAUCUCCCUUGAUUUUGUGUGUGUGUGUGAGUGUAUAUAUAUGUGUGUGUGUAUGUGUGUGUGAUAUCACUACAAUGAUGUAAGAAAGGUAGGUAAAAAGUCUUCCCUGCAAAGUUGGCUGCAGCACUAAUCCUUCACUGUAGCAUGUGCAAGUAGC